rnacentral:rRNA from 1 species
UACAGAGGUCCCGAGCGUUGUUCGGAUUCACUGGGCGUAAAGGGUGCGCAGGUGGGUUUGCAAGUUUGAUGUGAAAGCCCCGGGCUUAACCCGGGAAUGGCAUUGAAUACUGCAGAUCUGGAGGAUUGGAGGGGGGACUGGAAUUCUUGGUGUAGCAGUGAAAUGCGUAGAUAUCAAGAGGAACACCAGUGGCGAAGGCGAGUCCCUGGACAAUACCUGACACUGAGCACGAAAGCCCAAGGGAGCAAACAGG